rnacentral:rRNA from 1 species
UGAAACCGUGUGCUUACAAGUAGUCAGAGCCCGUUAAUGGGUGAUGGCGUGCCUUUUGUAGAAUGAACCGGCGAGUUACGAUCUGAUGCAAGGUUAAGCAGAAAAUGUGGAGCCGUAGCGAAAGCGAGUCUGAAUAGGGCGAAUGAGUAUUUGGUCGUAGACCCGAAACCAGGUGAUCUACCCUUGGUCAGGUUGAAGUUCAGGUAACACUGAAUGGAGGACCGAACCGACUUACGUUGAAAAGUGAGCGGAUGAACUGAGGGUAGCGGAGAAAUUCCAAUCGAACUUGGAGAUAGCUGGUUCUCUCCGAAAUAGCUUUAGGGCUAGCCUCAAGUGAUGAUUAUUGGAGGUAGAGCACUGUUUGGACGAGGGGCCCCUCUCGGGUUACCGAAUUCAGACAAACUCCGAAUGCCAAAUAAUUUAACUUGGGAGUCAGAAUGUGGGUGAUAAGGUCCAUAUUCGAAAGGGAAACAGCCCAGACCACCAGCUAAGGUCCCAAAAUAUAUGUUAAGUGGAAAAGGAUGUGGCGUUGCCCAGACAACUAGGAUGUUGGCUUAGAAGCAGCCAUCAUUUAAAGAGUGCGUAAUAGCUCACUAGUCGAGUGACACUGCGCCGAAAAUGUACCGGGGCUAAACAUAUUACCGAAGCUGUGGAUUGUCCUUUGGACAAUGGUAGGAGAGCGUUCUAAGGGCGUUGAAGCAUGAUCGCAAGGACAUGUGGAGCGCUUAGAAGUGAGAAUGCCGGUGUGAGUAGCGAAAGACGGGUGAGAAUCCCGUCCACCGAUUGACUAAGGUUUCCAGAGGAAGGCUCGUCCGCUCUGGGUUAGUCGGGUCCUAAGCUGAGGCCGACAGGCGUAGGCGAUGGAUAACAGGUUGAUAUUCCUGUACCACCAUUAUUCGUUUUAAGCGAUGGGGGGACGCAGUAGGAUAGGCGAAGCGUGCUGUUGGAGUGCACGUCCAAGCAGUGAGAUUGAGUGUUAGGCAAAUCCGGCACUCUUAAGAUUGAGCUGUGAUGGGGAGAGGAACUUGUUCCUCGAGUCGUUGAUUUCACACUGCCGAGAAAAGCCUCUAGCUAGAAUAACGGUGCCCGUACCGCAAACCGACACAGGUAGUCAAGAUGAGAAUUCUAAGGUGAGCGAGCGAACUCUCGUUAAGGAACUCGGCAAAAUGACCCCGUAACUUCG